rnacentral:rRNA from 1 species
GAUGAACGCUAGCGGCAGGCCUAAUACAUGCAAGUCGAACGAGAUUACGAGGCUUGCUUCUUAUGAAAGUGGCGCACGGGUGCGUAACGCGUAUGCAACCUACCUUAAUCAGGGGGAUAGCCCGAAGAAAUUCGGAUUAAGACCGCAUAAAAACACAGGAUAGCAUUAUCCAAUGUUCAAAUAUUUAUAGGAUUAAGAUGGGCAUGCGUGUCAUUAGCUAGUUGGCGGGGUAACGGCCCACCAAGGCGACGAUGACUAGGGGAUCUGAGAGGAUGACCCACGACGCUGGUACUGAGACACGGACCAGACUGGUACGGAAGGCAGCAGUAAGGAAUAUUGGUCAAUGGAGGGAACUCUGGACCAGCCAUGCCGCGUGCAGGGAGACAGCCCUCUGGAUCGUAAACUGCUUUUAUUCGGGAAUAAACCUUUCUACGUGUAGGAAGCUGAAUGUACCGAAGGAAUAAGGAUCGGCUAACUCCGUG